CCUACGGGCGACUGCAGUAGGGAAUCUUCCACAAUGGGCGAAAGCCUGAUGGAGCAACACCGCGUGAGUGAUGACGGGUUUCGGCUCGUAAAGCUCUGUCGUCGGAGACGAACGUGAGUGUGAGUAACUGUUAAGGCAGUGCCGGCAUCGAACCAGCAGGUGCGGGCUAACUAAGUGCCAGAAGCCGCGGUAAUUCGUAGGUGGCAAGCGUUAUCCGGGUUUAAUGGGCGUAAAGCGAGCGCAGGCGGCCGCUUAGGUCUGAUGUGAAAUCCUUCGGCUUAACCUGAGGAGUGCAUGGGAAACCGGAAGACUAGAGUGCAGGAGAGGACAAUGGAACUCCAAGUGUAGCGGUGGAAUGCGUAGAGAUAUGGAAGAACACCAGUGGCGAAGGCGAUUGUCUGGUCUGCAACUGACGCUGAGGCUCGAAAGCAUGGGGAGCAAACAGGAUUAGAUACCCGGGUAGUC
rnacentral:rRNA from 1 species